rnacentral:rRNA from 1 species
UACGUAGGGUGCGAGCGUUAAUCGGAAUUACUGGGCGUAAAGCGUGCGCAGGCGGUGAUGUAAGACCGAUGUGAAAUCCCCGGGCUUAACCUGGGAACUGCAUUGGUGACUGCAUCGCUCGAGUAUGGCAGAGGGGGGUAGAAUUCCACGUGUAGCAGUGAAAUGCGUAGAGAUGUGGAGGAAUACCGAUGGCGAAGGCAGCCCCCUGGGCUGAGAUUGACGCUCAGGCACGAAAGCGUGGGGAGCAAACAGG